CCAGGUGUUUCCUGAUGAUACAACACCAAUGCAUAGUUCAUCUGAAUCUACUGAAGACAAACUAUACCUUCUUAUUCUUUCGCUCCCAUCUGACUCACACCUUC
rfam:Fusarium poae strain 2516 chromosome FPOA_4 Chr4, whole genome shotgun sequence.